rnacentral:rRNA from 1 species
UGACCUCGGAUCAGGUAGGAAUACCCGCUGAACUUAAGCAUAUCAAUAAAAGGAAGAA